rnacentral:rRNA from 1 species
GGGUUGUGAGGUUAAGCGACUAAGCGUACACGGUGGAUGCCCUGGCAGUCAGAGGCGAUGAAGGACGUGCUAAUCUGCGAUAAGCGUCGGUAAGGUGAUAUGAACCGUUAUAACCGGCGAUUUCCGAAUGGGGAAACCCAGUGUGAUUCGUCACACUAUCAUUAACUGAAUCCAUAGGUUAAUGAGGCGAACCGGGGGAACUGAAACAUCUAAGUACCCCGAGGAAAAGAAAUCAACCGAGAUUCCCCCAGUAGCGGCGAGCGAACGGGGAGGAGCCCAGAGCCUGAAUCAGUGUGUGUGUUAGUGGAAGCGUCUGGAAAGGCGCGCGAUACAGGGUGACAGCCCCGUACACAAAAAUGCACAUGCUGUGAGCUCGAUGAGUAGGGCGGGACACGUGGUAUCCUGUCUGAAUAUGGGGGGACCAUCCUCCAAGGCUAAAUACUCCUGACUGACCGAUAGUGAACCAGUACCGUGAGGGAAAGGCGAAAAGAACCCCGGCGAGGGGAGUGAAAAAGAACCUGAAACCGUGUACGUACAAGCAGUGGGAGCACGCUUCGGCGUGUGACUGCGUACCUUUUGUAUAAUGGGUCAGCGACUUAUAUUCUGUAGCAAGGUUAACCGAAUAGGGGAGCCGAAGGGAAACCGAGUCUUAACUGGGCGUUAAGUUGCAGGGUAUAGACCCGAAACCCGGUGAUCUAGCCAUGGGCAGGUUGAAGGUUGGGUAACACUAACUGGAGGACCGAACCGACUAAUGUUGAAAAAUUAGCGGAUGACUUGUGGCUGGGGGUGAAAGGCCAAUCAAACCGGGAGAUAGCUGGUUCUCCCCGAAAGCUAUUUAGGUAGCGCCUCGUGAAUUCAUCUCCGGGGGUAGAGCACUGUUUCGGCAAGGGGGUCAUCCCGACUUACCAACCCGAUGCAAACUGCGAAUACCGGAGAAUGUUAUCACGGGAGACACACGGCGGGUGCUAACGUCCGUCGUGAAGAGGGAAACAACCCAGACCGCCAGCUAAGGUCCCAAAGUCAUGGUUAAGUGGGAAACGAUGUGGGAAGGCCCAGACAGCCAGGAUGUUGGCUUAGAAGCAGCCAUCAUUUAAAGAAAGCGUAAUAGCUCACUGGUCGAGUCGGCCUGCGCGGAAGAUGUAACGGGGCUAAACCAUGCACCGAAGCUGCGGCAGCGACACUAUGUGUUGUUGGGUAGGGGAGCGUUCUGUAAGCCUGUGAAGGUGGCCUGUGAGGGUUGCUGGAGGUAUCAGAAGUGCGAAUGCUGACAUAAGUAACGAUAAAGCGGGUGAAAAGCCCGCUCGCCGGAAGACCAAGGGUUCCUGUCCAACGUUAAUCGGGGCAGGGUGAGUCGACCCCUAAGGCGAGGCCGAAAGGCGUAGUCGAUGGGAAACAGGUUAAUAUUCCUGUACUUGGUGUUACUGCGAAGGGGGGACGGAGAAGGCUAUGUUGGCCGGGCGACGGUUGUCCCGGUUUAAGCGUGUAGGCUGGUUUUCCAGGCAAAUCCGGAAAAUCAAGGCUGAGGCGUGAUGACGAGGCACUACGGUGCUGAAGCAACAAAUGCCCUGCUUCCAGGAAAAGCCUCUAAGCAUCAGGUAACAUCAAAUCGUACCCCAAACCGACACAGGUGGUCAGGUAGAGAAUACCAAGGCGCUUGAGAGAACUCGGGUGAAGGAACUAGGCAAAAUGGUGCCGUAACUUCGGGAGAAGGCACGCUGAUAUGUAGGUGAAGCGACUUGCUCGUGGAGCUGAAAUCAGUCGAAGAUACCAGCUGGCUGCAACUGUUUAUUAAAAACACAGCACUGUGCAAACACGAAAGUGGACGUAUACGGUGUGACGCCUGCCCGGUGCCGGAAGGUUAAUUGAUGGGGUCAGCGGUAACGCGAAGCUCUUGAUCGAAGCCCCGGUAAACGGCGGCCGUAACUAUAACGGUCCUAAGGUAGCGAAAUUCCUUGUCGGGUAAGUUCCGACCUGCACGAAUGGCGUAAUGAUGGCCAGGCUGUCUCCACCCGAGACUCAGUGAAAUUGAACUCGCUGUGAAGAUGCAGUGUACCCGCGGCAAGACGGAAAGACCCCGUGAACCUUUACUAUAGCUUGACACUGAACAUUGAGCCUUGAUGUGUAGGAUAGGUGGGAGGCUUUGAAGUGUGGACGCCAGUCUGCAUGGAGCCGACCUUGAAAUACCACCCUUUAAUGUUUGAUGUUCUAACGUUGGCCCCUGAUCGGGGUUGCGGACAGUGUCUGGUGGGUAGUUUGACUGGGGCGGUCUCCUCCUAAAGAGUAACGGAGGAGCACGAAGGUUGGCUAAUCCUGGUCGGACAUCAGGAGGUUAGUGCAAUGGCAUAAGCCAGCUUGACUGCGAGCGUGACGGCGCGAGCAGGUGCGAAAGCAGGUCAUAGUGAUCCGGUGGUUCUGAAUGGAAGGGCCAUCGCUCAACGGAUAAAAGGUACUCCGGGGAUAACAGGCUGAUACCGCCCAAGAGUUCAUAUCGACGGCGGUGUUUGGCACCUCGAUGUCGGCUCAUCACAUCCUGGGGCUGAAGUAGGUCCCAAGGGUAUGGCUGUUCGCCAUUUAAAGUGGUACGCGAGCUGGGUUUAGAACGUCGUGAGACAGUUCGGUCCCUAUCUGCCGUGGGCGCUGGAGAACUGAGGGGGGCUGCUCCUAGUACGAGAGGACCGGAGUGGACGCAUCACUGGUGUUCGGGUUGUCAUGCCAAUGGCACUGCCCGGUAGCUAAAUGCGGAAGAGAUAAGUGCUGAAAGCAUCUAAGCACGAAACUUGCCCCGAGAUGAGUUCUCCCUGACUCCUUGAGAGUCCUGAAGGAACGUUGAAGACGACGACGUUGAUAGGCCGGGUGUGUAAGCGCAGCGAUGCGUUGAGCUAACCGGUACUAAUGAACCGUGAGGCUUAACCUUACAACGCCGAAG